GUGUGUGUGUGUGUGUGUCUCUGUGUACAUUUUUUUACUUUUUUCACCUCAACCCUCAGUUCAGAGACUUAAACCAAUUCAAGGACCUAGGUGGGUAUGGAAGGUGUGUUACAGAGGCAACUGGUCUCUGAAUCAGCAGAUUACACAUCACUGUACUGCAGUCUAGGUGAGCUUUCAAGAUUAAGACAUCUGUCUCUUACUUACAAGAAUAACUCAUGUUCUGAUUGUCCUGUUUGAAAGUACACAAUCUUGUCUUUAAGUAUCUAAUUACAGCAUGUGUUUUGAGAUAAACCUGAAAGUAUAAAUAAUAGGUUAUUUCCAUCUAAACGUCCAGCUCUUCCAUUUGGGGUUGAGAACAAUCUCCCCUUACAGCAAUUAUUCUGGCUAAACCAUCUUGUUAAAGAGAUAGAUGACCCAGACCCCUUAAUCUUAUAUGUGGAAUUACAAGUAAAAUAGUGAAUUUUCAAUACUGAUUAUAGAGUCUGUAUUUCAAUACUAAUUAUUGAGAGAGUUAGAAAAUUAUAAUGUCUCUUUUCAACUUCAGAUCAUUUCAGCUCUGUAUGAAUCAUUGUGAAAUAAAAGCAACACACAAUUUUUUCUUAUAUAUAUGUUACUUGAAGAGAACUGGGAAUAUUAUUUGGUGCAUACAUUGUAAACACACAGGCUUGUAAAUACAGAUUGGUCAAUUCCAUCUUUUAAAAGAAAAACUUCAUGGUUUUUGCUUUAUUUAUUUUCUAAGAUGUUUUAAAUAAGGAAAAACUAUAAAAGCCAUCCUUGUUGUGGUUUUUAUGGUCUUCUAUCACUGAAGACUUUUUUUACAUGUGACAUAUAUCAAAAAUAGCAGUUUAAUAAAUUCAAGAGACACCUUAAUCAGAAGGCAAAUAAGGAGUAUGAAUGCCACUGCUAAAGAAACAAAACCUGCUUGGUACUAAAUUUUUAUCAUUUCAACAAAAGAAAUUCAGGAAAACUUCAAAAGUACAAACAAACAAACAAAAACAACCCACAGAUGUUAAAAAUGUGUAAAAGAGUUCUGUCGUUUCAGAAUAUAAAAAGAGUAUACUUUUCAGAAUAUAAAAAGAGAAUACUUUACUGAAAUUCAGAAAUUGCAUUCUCCCUGUCCAGGUGCACUACAUAGAGGGCAACAGAACCCCAUAGCCCAUUAAAUACCAUGUUGCUAACAAUAGGUCAUAUGUUUUGUACUGAUGUUACAAGGACUCAGAAAUUAGCUUUGCCGGGAUUACUUUGUACUUUUCUUGACCUGCCCAGAACAUUGUUUUAGAUUGUUUAGCUGUAAAAGAUUGACUAGGGGUCUAUCACUUUUUUGCUUUAUUUUUGUACAACUCUGUAUUAUAUAACUGUAAUCCUGUACUUACUCUUGCAAAAAAUAGAACAAAAUAUUCAUGGCUCUAACAUAAUAGCGUAAAGAAGGCUUGGUAUGUCAGUGGAAGCUUUAAAAGCAGGUUGAAAACUGUGUAGAAUGUAGAGGAGUCCAGGUAUGGGAUGGUAAGAGAAGUGACCCAGGGUUGGCCCUAGAGAGCCUAGACCUGUAAACUCAACUACGGACAAUUAAAGGAAUGCAGGGUAACAAGAAGAAAAGCAAGUAUAUCCAGUAUAUGCAACACGCUUUCCAGAUAGUAAAUUCAGCUUUAACAUGGACCUACAGACCUGCAAAGAAAGAGCAAACUUUGCAAUGUGUGUUAGAAGCACAUAAAAAUGACCUGAAGCAGCCCCUACAGUGAGGGGGAGGCAGUUAAUAUGAGGUUAAUACCAUUACCAUCAUAUUGCUCUUGUAAAUGCACUCAGGAUUCUGAAAACUUGCAUGUCCAACUGAAGAUGUCAACUGCAAGAAGCCAAGGAGCAGUAAAAGGGUGAAUAUAAAUGCAAGGAAAGGGGUAGAUAAAAAGAAGCCCAUGUUUAAUAAUUUUACUUUAUUACUAUUACUGAUUCUUCCAUGAUACAAGAGAGUUUGUUCAUUUGUUUUUUCUUUAUUUUUCUGUCACAAAAUUGAAGCAAUAAAUAUUCUUUAAAUAGCUAUUUAAGAUUUAAAUUACACAAAGAAAAAAUAUUGGUUUUACAUAGAUAAGAUUUGUUUAUUUUUGCCUGAGGAAGACAGAAACUUAAGUUUAGAUCCUUGAAAAAUGGUAUUGAAAGAUGUUUUAGUGUCUCAACACAAGGAAAUAACCUUCUACUUCAGUUAAACUCAUGCAACCUGAUGUUCAUUUGGAACAGUUCCCUCGCAAUCUUCCACACACUCUUUUUCCUUCUACAUACUCUUCUUUCAGAUUUGUAUGUACCACCCUUUACAUUUAAAAAGAAUUCACAGGGAUAUAUUUAUAUAUAUAUAUAUAUAUAUAUAUACAAAUAUAUAUAUAUAUAUAUAUACACAUUUGAUAUAUUUGUAUUUUGUAUAUAUUUGUUCAAGCACUUGAAGAAGAAAGAUUUUUAUGCUUUGCUGUCUACUUUUAAGAUAUUUAAUCCUAACAGAAUGCUAUUGGAAUAAAAUUUUUAAUUUCAGUUUCAAGUAACAUAGAAUGGAAGAAACACUUGAUAUAAUGUAUUUAUUUUUGUAACAACUUACUCUGACAGGACUUCAUUAUACUUCAGGCUAUCAACUGGAGCAUCUGUUCACAUAUCCCUUAAACGGUGAAGUGGGCAAUGUAUCAGUACAAAGUGCAUGCCAAAACAUCAGAGUGAUACUAGGAUCAGUCCUUCCUAAGUGAAAAUUAAUACCUUUAGUCAAACUUUUGCAUAUGUCCUUUCUGGGAAAAAAAAAAAAAAGGGGAGAAUAUAUCCCACACAUUACCAGAAUAUAUUAGCUGCUACCCACAAAAAAGUAACAUGUAAAUAAAAACAUUAAGAAAGACUACACAGAAUAUGGUUUCCCCAAGACAAUACUUCUGCAGGACAAGCAGCCUAUAGCCAAAGUAGAUUGGAGCUAUUCUACCACCAGGUAAAAAAUUUCAAAACUGAAGGCAUCUGUGAAGCUACUCAUUUUCACUUUUUUUUACACAUAUUACAGCUACUUCAAGCAGAUCUCAAAAUCUGAAAGACUGUGGGGUUUGAUUGAAACUAGUGCUAAUUCCUUACUAACUGUGCUAAUUCAGCAAAAUGGUAAAGCUGAGCUGAAUCAUCAUGCAAAUCUGUGAGAAGCUUUAAAAUACUAGCUGCAAAAUGAAAACACAUUUUACAUUUAUUCAUAAAGCCAAGAGACUAAAAUUCUGAAUCUUCCUUAUGUCUGCUGAACUUUGCAAUACACUACAGAGCAAGAAUAAUAAUAUUAAAAAUUUAAAAAUAAACUCCAAACCUAGUAUGAGGUACAAUCACAACCAUUUGGAAUAGAAUUUGCUAUCCUUUAUUUCACAUUAUGAUAAUGUGCAGAGAGCAUACAUUUCCUGAUAGAGCCAUCCGUUAUGUUUACAUUCCAGUACAAGGCACAUGCACAGUAUGCUUCAUUAAAAAGUAGCAUGUAAGAGAAACAGGCACACAGUUUGCAUCAGAAUUCUAGCUGCAGAGGACCCUAAAAAUAUCUACAACUGCACUUCCAGAUUCACGUUCAGUUUUCAAUCUCCUAUAAGCCAAAACACCUGAAUAAUAACAUGAAAUUGGCCACUGCUCUGAAAUCCAUUGACCACCUUUUCUCACAAGAGAGUAAAUAUGGUAGAAGCUACACAACCACAUUCAAGUGUUGCCUCAAAACAGACUACUACUUGCAAGCUCCAAAGAAGUUCUGCAGCUUUCAAAACAUGCAAAAAACUGAUAAACACUCCCAGCCUUCCAAACGUCAGAGAGCAUACAGGCAUAACUCCAGAGACAAGAUAUCUUUGUUGAAGAUACUGCUCCAGAAAACAAUUCAGAGGAGGAACUUAACCUGUCUUCUUCCUGAAAUUGAUCCACAGAAUUCCUUCUUCACUAACAGUACAAAGAGAUAAGCCUUCCUGGAAACUAUAUUUUGUCUGAAUAGGCUCUACUUGAGUAGGGAAAGAUGCCUAGAGGAUUCAAGAUAAGCAUCUUCCAUUGCUGCAAAUUGUUGGUCCAAAAGUUGUGACUGACCAGAAGGCACUAUGGUUACACGCCAGCAUUUCAAAGGUCCUGAGCAGGCUGAAAACAAUGAGACUGCAUACAUUGGGUAGCAAUUGACCCCAAACUCCUUAGUCUACUAUUUCCUAUCUGCUAUAUGUCUCACUGAAUACUCAAAAUCAAGAUUCAAAACAGCUCAGCAGAGGAGGAAGAAAGAGUACCCAAAAAUUUUUAAAGGUAAGAAAAAAAUUAAAGUAAGAAAAAUUAAGGGGUCAGUUAAAUUUUUUUCUGUUCAAAAUUAUGGCAAACUUCUUAUUUAAUUUCCAGGAAAUUUAAUUAAAAUGUGGUGAGAUUUAAUGUAGAUGAGUUGUCAUUUACAGGAGGACUCAGUACUUCAGUAAGCCUAAAGACAAGAAGCCUAAGAACAUCUAUGGAUUAUAUUUCAUGCAGGACUGAGUGGGAUUGAGUGCAAGUUUGCUGAUUACACCAAGGUGUGCGGUCUAGUUGAGAUGCUGGAGAGAAGGGAUGCUGUCCAGAUGGACCUUGACAGACUUCAGAGGUCGGCCCAUGUGAACUUCACAAAAUUGAACAAGGCAAAGUGCAAGGUGCUGCAUCUGGGUCAGAGCAAUUCCAAGCUCAAAUAUGGUCUGAGUAGAGAGUGGAUUGAGAGAAGCCCAGAGAAGAUGGACUUGUGGGUGUUGGUUGAUGACAGGCUUAAAUAUGAGCUGGCAACAUGUUUUCAGACCAGAGAGGAAAUCAUGUCCUGAGCUGCAUCAAAAGAAGCAUGGCUAGCAGGGUGAAGCAGGUGUUCUUCUCCCUCUCCUCUCCUGAGAUCUCACCUGAAGUGCUGCAUCCAGCUCUGAGUUCCCCAGCAUAAGAAGGAUGUGAACCUGCUAAAGCGAGAUCAGAGGAGGGCCACGAAAGAUGAUCAGAGGUCUGGAACCCCUCAUCUGUGAGGACAGGCUGAGGGAGUUGGUGUUUUCCAGCCUGGAGAAGAGCAGGAUCCAAGGAGACCUUAUAGCACCCUCCCACUACCUUAAGGGGACCUACAAGAAGGCUGGGGGGACUUGUCACAAGGACAUAUAGUGAUAAGACAAGAGGCAAUGUUUUUAAACUAAAAGAGGGUAGGUUUAGAUAGGUAUUAGGAAGAAAUACUUUACUGUGAAGGUACUGGAAUAGAUUCCUCAGAAAAGCUGUGAAUGCCCCAUUCCUGAAAGUGUUCAAGGCCAGGUUGGAUGGGGAUUUGAGACACCUGGUCUAGAGGAAACUUUCCCUGCCCAUGGCAGAGAUGUUGGAAGGAGAUGAUCUUUAAGGUCCCUUCCAAGCCAAAGAGGUCUAUGAUUCUAUGAUCAAAGUCUUUACAUGUCCAAAUUCUAAUGUUUGCAAAAAGCCUGAAAAAGUAAAUACAUCUCUGAAAUGCCACUUGUAUUGUGUGUAGCUGGCAAAAUGAGGGCUACAGGGAUGGCUGCUUUGGCAGGAGUUUAGAAUGAGUCUUGUCCCAGACUCAGCUGGUUUCAGCCUUCUCCACAAGGGACCCACAACAGGACAAGGUAGAAGUUGUUGGCUAUUUGUACAUUUUCUCUGGCAUAGCAUAUUUAAAGAGAGAGGAGAAAGUGUAAGAAAUGAUCCUGCAAGCAACAAGGUCUGACAAGAAGGGUGAGGAUGUGCUCAGACAUUCCCUUGUAACUCUUGCUGGAGCAAUUUAUUUCCCUACAGCCCAUGUACUUGACCACUUUGGAAUAAAUAUCCAUCUUGCAGCCCUCGAAGGACAGAGCUCUGGAAUGUUGUUGUUUAUUUACUUUUAAGAUUAAGAUAUAAAAGAAUGUGUAGUUUGUGUGUAUAUUUUCAGAUUUCCAGACCUACUAUCUAUUAAUCCUAAUGCAUCACAAUUGAUCAAAGUUACUUUCCAAUGCAAGAUUCAUGACAGUUUUGAGUUAAAUUAUUGUACUUCCUGAAGUUUGGAAUUCCAGAGAUAUAUAACACAAGUUUAGGAAGAUUUACUUGCUAUCAAAUAUCAUAUUCUAAUUCAAACAUUUAUAUUAUAGGAAAUUAGAUUAUUGGACUCAAAUCAAAAGGAAGAUAUAGAACUAUUAUGAUAUGUCUUUUACGAAGAAUUACCUUUAGAUUUUUCACACUCUUCUUGUUUAGUUAAGUAACAAAUAAUUUCUGUACAUAGAUCUACAAAUGUGAACAGGCAUAGAUACAUAAGAUAAAUGCUUAAGCACUUACAUGUAUUAAAAGAACGGACAUGUGUCUAGCCCUGGAGACAGUAUGCUUUGUAUCUGGAUUUCAGAUUAUAGCAAACACUUUUGAUUAUUUGCAUGUACAAAGCUGUAUUUGGCAGUACAUUUUAACUUCUUAUAGUUAAGUGAGUCGCAGGUGAGAGAUUAUGCUAAAACAUAAUUUUAAAUGCUAAAACACCAUUGGAGAAUGUUAGUUCUCUGACAAUAAAGAGAUUGACUCU